AUACGAAGGGGGCUAGCGUUGUUCGGAAUCACUGGGCGUAAAGCGCGCGUAGGUGGAUCAAUUAGUUGAGGGUGAAAUCCCGGGGCUCAACCUCGGAACUGCCUUCAAUACUGUUGAUCUUGAGACCGAGAGAGGUGAGUGGAAUUCCUAGUGUAGAGGUGAAAUUCGUAGAUAUUAGGAAGAACACCAGUGGCGAAGGCGGCUCACUGGCUCGGUACUGACGCUGAGGUGUGAAAGCGUGGGGAGCAAACAGGAUUAGAAACCCGAGUAGUCC
rnacentral:rRNA from 1 species